GGGCGUUUAGCUCAGUUGGCUAGAGCAUCUCGUUUACACCGAGGAGGUCGGGGGUUCGAAUCCCUCAACGCCCACCA
rnacentral:tRNA from 1 species